GGGCAAGGAGAUCACUAAAAUAAAGUUACUUUGAGAAAUGAGGAAGCUAAGCUUGUGAAUAGGCUCCACAUGAGGACUGAGGUGUUUGCAAUUGGAGUGGGAAGAAAGAGAGGGAGCCCAGAACCCGAGAGUGUGGCUGCAAGUCUCCCAGGAACAGUGCUUAAGCAUGGGAAUGUGAUCAAACAGAGCUGUGACCUUGGCCCUCAACACAGGGAUCCACUGUGGUCCAGACCAGCAAGGGCUAUCCAAACCACACAAGGCCAGUCUUCAACAGCCCCACCAUGAAGCAGCAGAUAAAUAGGAAACAUAGUUCAAUGCAUUCUGCUUGCUGUGUGAAAAAACAGGAUGCACGCCACUGGACUAAGCUUCAAAAGGUACAGAGAGAGGACUACCCUCCCAACUCAUUGCACCCACCCCGCCCAGGAUCUGUGCUGACCAUCAGGUCUGCGUUCAGAGGCAGCCAAGCAACAGGUUCUUACAAAUGAAAGAAUAACCAGGAGGGAAAUCAAGACACUGAAUUUACAAAUGGACAAUGGCCAGACCAUAUAUGACGACAGAACUCUGACCCACAAACUCUACAGGAACUACCCAGAACAAUAACUUGGGGAGCUAUUAGAAGAUACUCCAUGAGAAAGGUGUUUUGUGGUUGAAAGAAGUUGAGAAACAAAGCAACAUAUUCUAAUGCUGGGAGCCUGGAAAAUAAAAGGAAGCAAGAGAGAGAAAAAUGCACUCAAAAUUGUCUGCCUUUGGGGACUCAACUGGAGAAAGAAGAUCUGGUAUGCAUCAAGGAUAAAAUAUUGUAAGAAAAAAGUUAUCUAGAAAUCUCAACACUAAAGUAUCAAAAAUGCCAAAUUUAUCUUAAAUAGACUUUUUUCCUAAUGAUCUUUCAUAUUUCAAAUCAUGCAAAUAGAACAAUCAACGGAUGACUGGCCCUGGUAUCUAUGGUGAUGACAGCAUCUACAGAGCAAUGGACAACCAACCAAUUAAAAACAUCACACGAGCUGAAUUCUCACAUGAGAGGCAGUGAGAUGCAGAGCAUACUGUGUGGGGCAGUCAUUAUUUUUUCACCUGUUGGGAAUCAUCACUUUCUCAUAACACACCCCAUCACCCCAGCUCCUGGGAAGGACCCAGGUGCAGCCAUCACAGCAUCUAACACCCAGGUUAGAGUGACUGCUUCAGUCACAGUAAAGUGACUACUCUCAAGAGGUAACCUGAGAAAUUAGGUUUACGAUUUAGUUCAGGAAUAUUCAUUGAACCACUGAGAAAGAGUAGCUACUGGUAAAAUUUUUGUUCUAUUUGCCACAAAUAGAAUAAAAGCUGAAUCUGCUUACAGUAAUCUUGCCUGAGAACAAAGGUAAAUGAUGUGUAAGAAAUCUCUGCAAAUCAUUUAGUUCAUGAUUUUGCAGGAUGCCAAUAUGAGCAUAGCACACGUGAAUGGUUUUCCUGAUCUUGUCUGGACUCACUUCAUACAUCUGUGGGCAGCCCCCUAGAUUAGCUGGGCCUGGCUGGUCUAGGAUGGCUUGUCUGACUUCCAUGGAAUCUCUUCUUAUCCAGCAGACAAGUCCAGGCUUAUUCACACAGCAGAAGCAUGGUUCCAAAAAAGUGAGUGGAAGCGUGCAAGGCCUCUUGAGGCCCAGGCUCAGAACUGUCAUGGUGUCAGUUUCUCCACAUUCUGUUAGUUGAAACAGGUCACAAAGCCAGCCCUGAUUUAAAGGGGUAGGGAAAUAGACCCCAUCUCCAUAUGGGAGGAGCUGCAAAGUCACAUUGCAUGGAGGUCUAGAUAUAGGAAAGGAAAUAAUUUUGGUCAUUUUUUAAUAAAUAAUCUACCAUAGUCCAUUUUCUGGCUACAAUUAUUCAUGUCCCUCCUACAUGCAAAAUACACUUACUUCUUCCUGAGACUUCCGUUUAUCUGGAUCAGAGUCCAGGACUUUUGGACCUGCAUUCUGCCAUACGAGGUUUCCCACGAUUAGAGACCUAUGAACUAAAAAAACAAGUUAUGUGCCCUCAAUGUACCCAACAAACAAGUGUGAGACUGGGACAGGAUAGCCACAAGAGACUUCCCCAUUCAAAAUAUGCUGUCAAUGGAAAUUCAUGCUAUGAAAAAACCUUGCACAUUUUACAGAGCACAGGAAUUCAUCACAGAGCAAAAGAUGCUGCAGAAGUGCAGGCUGAACAGAAAAGUUGCAGCAGGAGGCUGUGGAUGGCACUAAGGCAUUUUUAAAGUAGCUCUCAUGUUUCUAGUUUCUGCAGAUGCUGACAUAACAAAUUCUGAUUCUAAGUUACUUGGCCAGAUUCCUUUCUACAUGUCAACAAGGAUUUUCUGGUAAAUAAAACAUUCAUGCAUUUUUUUAUUAGCACUUGAUGCUUUUUUUUGAAGUUGUUGCCAUUUUAAAGUGAUAAGUAUAUACCCCAAAUCCUGAUAUUCUGUAUAAUAUUUGAUGAGUGAAAGGUUUAUUUUGUGUUUUAUCAUUAAACCUUUAGAGUUUUCCAUAAUAUGUUUUUCUUUUCUGUUUUCCG
rnacentral:lncRNA from 10 species